rnacentral:misc_RNA from 1 species
GAUGAAGAACGUAGCGAAAUGCGAUACGUAGUGUGAAUUGCAGAAUUCCGCGAAUCAUCGAGUUUUUGAACGCAAGUUGCGCCCGAGGCUUGUCCGAGGGCAUUUCCGCUAGAGCGUCACCGCGCCCCCCCACCACACUCCCAAAUGCGGGAGUUUGAGUGGAACUGGCCGUCCCGGCACAUCGGGUCGGCUGAAAUGGAGGGAAUUUGGCCGCCGUGGCAUCACUUGCCCCGCGAUCAGGUGCGAUACUCGGAAGAGUUUCAUUCCAAGUGCGGGGCUCCCAGUGAGCCCGCGUGCGUGCCCCGAGUUCCACAGCAGGCUUACCUUGAGCAGCACCUCGAGUGCUGCGAAAGCGUGAAAGAGGUAACGCAUCAGACCUCUAAUCGGAAAAGACUACCCGCCGAGUUUAAGCAUAUCAAUAAGCGGAGGA